rnacentral:tmRNA from 1 species
UGCUUUACAACAAUGCCUAAAAUGAGGUAUAAUGGAGACUGCUACUUAUGGUAGCUAUGGUAAUAAACGCUAUUUGGAAUAGAAGUUGCGGACCUGGGGGCGGUACCCAGCGCCUCCACCAUUGAUGAGAUUGUACUAUGGGGGCGAAAUAGGAUCGACGUGCUUAGUAAAGAAAUAAUUUUUACCCAGUAUGAUACCGCUGGAUCUUUUGAUCUUGGGUCAAAAAAAGUAAAUGCAAAUGAUAAUAAUCGUUAUGCAGUUGCUGCCUAGUUUAACUAGAUAGCACGCGGGGUUGGGGGCUUACCUUGCAACAGAAAAGCCUCACU